rnacentral:rRNA from 1 species
AUUGAACGCUGGCGGCAUGCCUUACACAUGCAAGUCGAACGGCAUCGCGGGAAAGCUUGCUUUCCUGGCGGCGAGUGGCGAACGGGUGAGUAACACAUCGGAACGUACCGGCUAGUGGGGGAUAACCCGUCGAAAGACGGGCUAAUACCGCAUACGCUCUUCGGAGGAAAGCAGGGGACCUUUGGGCCUUGCGCUAGUCGAGCGGCCGAUGUCCGAUUAGCUAGUUGGUGGGGUAAAGGCCUACCAAGGCGACGAUCGGUAGCGGGUCUGAGAGGACGAUCCGCCACACUGGGACUGAGACACGGCCCAGACUCCUACGGGAGGCAGCAGUGGGGAAUCUUGGACAAUGGGGGCAACCCUGAUCCAGCAAUGCCGCGUGGGUGAAGAAGGCCUUCGGGUUGUAAAGCCCUUUCGGCAGGGAAGAAAUCGGCGGGGCGAAGAACCCUGCUGGAUGACGGUACCUGCAGAAGAAGCACCGGCUAACUACGU